UGGGGAAUUUUGGACAAUGGGGGAAACCCUGAUCCAGCCAUCCCGCGUGUGCGAUGAAGGCCUUCGGGUUGUAAAGCACUUUUGGCAGGAAAGAAACGUCGCGGGUUAAUACCCCGCGAAACUGACGGUACCUGCAGAAUAAGCACCGGCUAACUACGUGCCAGCAGCCGCGGUAAUACGUAGGGUGCAAGCGUUAAUCGGAAUUACUGGGCGUAAAGCGUGCGCAGGCGGUUCGGAAAGAAAGAUGUGAAAUCCCAGAGCUUAACUUUGGAACUGCAUUUUUAACUACCGGGCUAGAGUGUGUCAGAGGGAGGUGGAAUUCCGCGUGUAGCAGUGAAAUGCGUAGAUAUGCGGAGGAACACCGAUGGCGAAGGUAGCCUCCUGGGAUAACACUGACGCUCAUGCACGAAAGCGUGGGGAGCAAACAGGAUUAGAUACCCUGGUAGUCCACGCCCUAAACGAUGUCAACUAGCUGUUGGGGCCUUCGGGCCUUGGUAGCGCAGCUAACGCGUGAAGUUGACCGCCUGGGGAGUACGGUCGGCAAGAUUAAAACUC
rnacentral:rRNA from 1 species